GUUUGGGACGAUGAGCCCUCCCACUCCUGGGGCCAGAAGGAGUUGCUGAGAAGGAGCUGUGGUUCUGACCUUCAGGGGAAUUCCCAUGUCUGUAUGGUGGCUCGUGAAGAGCAUGGUUCCUUUUCUCAGCCCUCUGGAGCGGCGAGGAUGCUGAGGACUGAAGUCUGUGGGGCUUGAUGCAUGUGGGCCUGCUCUCUGUCAUGUGAUGCUAUACUACAGCCAUGUAUAUAGCUGGAAUUUGAUGUCUUAUUGCUACAAAGAGUCAGCUUUGUCAGUCCUAAGGUCACUGGGAGGCUGCCACAGGGCCAUUUUCAUGACCAGAGGGGUCUGUUCAACACCCUGUGGGUCCCAGCACCUAUCUCAGGAAGCAGGGUGCAUCUGUCCAUCACUGAGUCUCAGGGUGGCUGGGUGAGCGCUCAUCAGUCCCAGACAGCAGGUCGGCACAAAACGACACUGCCCACAAAACCACAGGAAGAAGAGAAACUCCGACUGUCAUUCAGUACACAGAAGACACUGUACUGGACCCGGACAUUAGGUAGACACCCACGCCUGACUUUCAGGAGAAAAGAGAACAUAACAAACGGAUAUUCUUAGUAGAUGGUUUAUUAGAAAAGAGAACAUCUUCCAGCAUGUGUCCUGGGGUGAUGGGUGUGGGAAGCACUCAGUCCAUAGUCCUGGUCCCUGGCUUCCCCAAGCCCAGCACCGUGAAUGUACAGUGGAAAGCAGAGGGUGCAGCGUCUCAGAAAGAUGCUUCCACUCACAAGGAUUGGAGCUCACAAGUGAGCUCGAUAACCUGCAAACCAGAGAAACCUGAGACACUGCUCCUUGGCCGUUUUAUCAACUGAGACUUUAUUGUGAUUAUCCCGGCAGGGGGCCGAGCUCUCCUCUCUGCAAGAGGAAAUGCUCUUUAGUGAAAAUGCAGCAUUUCUCCAAGGGUAGCAAAGCUGAACGCGUUUAGCUUAUGAACCCUCAGUUGGCCUAGGUGGUGCAAAGACCCUGCUGUUACUGCUUUGAUCAUCAGUACUGUGGACUGUACCAGGAGAUCCCUGGGAAUGUGCUCUGGGCGGAAGCAGCUUUUAUCUUUGGCCCUCACCGAUGCUUUAUAUGGUGAGGUUGGGAAAAUGGCACAAGGCUUCUCCUGAACCUCAAAUCAACACUCUUGCCCCAUUUAGAUCCUAUCUGGCUGUUUCCUGCUAAUAUUACUGCAUCACUGCACCAUCUUUCCUCUUUCAGCAAAGUGGAGUCAUGUGUGGUUUAUGGGGUAGAUGGACCCCAAAACUGAUAACAUGAAUCAAGCUAUGGUGUUUACUACUUAGGAAAUGCACUAUUUUUCUGGAAAGCUACAGAAGCUUCAAAUGCAUUUGCCACACAAAGCUAAGUCAGCAGAACAACCCGUUUGGCUUUGGAGGCUAUUUCAGUUCCGCGGACAGGGAGAAAGAUGAGGCAGACUGUGGUUUUUCAGUUCCUGGAGCUUAGGGAGCUCCAACACUCCCUCUCUCCCUGCCCUGGCUGCGCUGUUCUUAAUUUUAGAUAAUACCCUGGCUUCUCCUCGUAUUGCUGCUGAGCUCCUAGCAUCCUCAGUUUAUCUGUCUGUGAAAUGAAAAAUCUAAUGUUAAAUUUUUUACCUAUGGCAUGAGAGAGAUGGCUGUGGCUCUUGUGGGACUCUCUGCAGCCCCUCUUUUCCUUCAAUCACCCUCUGUCUCUCCUGCCUUCUGCUUAUUCUCUCUCUCCCCUCAUCCCCACUUUCCCAGUGGGUCCUGUGUUCUCUUUUCUCUUUCUUUUCUUUUUAAAUCUCUCUAUGCCUCCAGCCGAGAAGAUAAAGAGUGUACAUCUUUCUGGUUAAAAAGUUGUGCUUUGCAGAAACACAGCAAAUUUAUGAUUCUGGCCUUCCCAGCUAGGGAUAAUGUUCAUUUACAUUUAGGACCAUGAGGAGAGAGGCUUAGCUGUGAGUUUCUGAGGCUGGCGAAAAUUACAGUGAUACAUAAUGGUGCUGCACUCAUCGAGGUACUGAGCCUGGGUUGGGCUCAGGCGGCCACUAAGCUCAGAGUGGAAAGUUUCAGAGGGGAGGCAGAAAGGAGAGGUCUAUAGCUCCUCCAGAUUCUAGGUAUUAAUUUACUAAGAUAUUCCUAAGCCAGAAAACAGAGACAGAAGACAAAGAGAAAGAGCGAAGAGAGCAAGACAGAGAGAUAGAAAGAGACAAAGAGAGAGAGUUAGACAGAGACAAAGAGAGACUGGAGAGGAGAGAGAGCAAAUAUUG